UUCCGGUGCUAGGUGGAGGGAAGGAAGGAGGGAGCCGGGGAGUGGGCCAGGGCAGCAGCCGGGCUGAAGUCGGCUUGGGGAGCCAGAGGGAGCGGAGCGGAACCUGCGGGGCAGAGGCGGCGGCCGCAGCGGCGCAGCUGAUAGCAGGAACAGGAAGUACCAGGAUUCCCGGAACAGAAAAUGGAGCCAUUGCUUACGCGAAUCGUUUGAGGGAAGGGGCGGGAGUUGGGGAGGUGGAGUUCCCUGUUAAAACGGGCCACUUGAUUAGCAAAGUGGUAGCUGUUAUUUUGGGGGAAUUCCCGUCUUGAUUGCAUUAAGGCGGGUCUCCAUCUUUCCAGGCCAGGAGGAAUGUGGUGGUGGAGGUGGAGGAUUGUGGUAUGUGGUCAGGAGUGAGAAGAAAUAGUAAGGCCGUCCCGGUGAGGGAGAAAUGUAACCUAAAACCUGUCUCUGCUGUUGUUGGAUUGGGUCACCCCUGGUCUAUGGCAUGAAAGUUUUAUUGGGAGGAGAUCUGCUGCAAGAGUCUGAUUGCUUGGGUCA
rnacentral:lncRNA from 10 species